GAUUCAAACCAGGCAGUGUGGCUCCAGAGUCCAUGGCCUUUAUCACUGCCCCCUACCCUUUGGCAAGCUCCACUUUUGAUAGCGCUGAUGUGAUAGCAGACAACGUGUAAUUGCCAAACUUUAGUCAUCAGCACGCUAGCUUUGAAUGGAAACACAAGGGGAGUUUCCGAGCUCUGAGAAGUUUCUCUACAGCUUCUGAGGUGAGGAUCCACCCUGCAUGAAGGAUACUGGGCCACUCAGGCCUUCUCCCACUCCGCGGCAGGAUCCUAGCGCCUGAGGACACUGGAGCCAUUCCAGGUGAGAUCGGCUGUGUGACUAGCCUGCAGUGCAGCAGACAUUUGUGUAGGGCGUCUCUCCACACAUCAGAUGAGCUUCUUGACUCAGGCUAAUUUGAGCCUGUUUCAUUAUGACCUGGGUGAGAAGACACCCGAAGCCAGAGAGCACUUUGGUGCUUUUUAUGACCUUGAGAGUUUCUCUUCCUAAUAAGCUGUUUCCUGGCAUCAUUCUAGCCAAGCCCCCUUUCCCGUUUGAUAACCAAUGUUGCUGUGUUGCCAUUCC
rnacentral:lncRNA from 10 species